rnacentral:tRNA from 1 species
GGGGUUGUAGCUCAGUGGUAGAGUGCUUGCCUAGCAUGCAUGAGGCACUGGGUUCAAUUCUCAGAACCACA